rnacentral:rRNA from 1 species
AUUGAACGCUGGCGGCAGGCUUAACACAUGCAAGUCGAACGAGUGGCGGACGGGUGAGUAAUGCUUGGGAAUCUAGCUUAUGGAGGGGGAUAACUACGGGAAACUGUAGCUAAUACCGCGUACCAUAGGAUGAGCCCAAGUGGGAUUAGUUAGUUGGUGAGGUAAAGGAUCACCAAGCCGACGAUCUCUAGCUGGUCUGAGAGGAUGACCAGCCACAGUGGGAAGAAGACACGGACCAGAAUCCCACGGGAGGCAGCAGUGGGGAAUAUUGCGCAAGGGGGGCAAACCUGACGCAGCCAUGCCGGGUGUAUGAAGAAGGCCUUAGGGUUGUAAAGUACUUUCAGCGGGGAGGCGUUACCCGCAGAAGAAGCACCGGCUAACUCCGUGCCAGCAGCCGCGGUAAUAC